ACGGCGAGUGAAGCGGCAAUAGCUCAAAUUUGAAAUCUGGCCCUUUCAGGGUCCGAGUUGUAAUUUGUAGAGGAUGUUUCGGGCAAAGCUUGGGUCUAAGUUCCUUGGAACAGGACGUCAUAGAGGGUGAGAAUCCCGUCUUGGUCCCUAUGCUGCGUCCGUGUGAAACUCCUUCGACGAGUCGAGUUGUUUGGGAAUGCAGCUCAAAAUGGGAGGUAAAUUUCUUCUAAAGCUAAAUAUUGGCCAGAGACCGAUAGCGCACAAGUAGAGUGAUCGAAAGAUGAAAAGCACUUUGAAAAGAGAGUUAAACAGUAUGUGAAAUUGUUGAAAGGGAAGCGCUUGCAACCAGACUUGUUUCCAACGGUUCAACCACUGUUUUCAGUGGCCUAUUCCGUUGGUCCAGGCCAGCAUCAGUUUGGGUGGUUAGUUAAAGACUUGGGGAAUGUAUCUACUCCUUCGGGUGUAGACUUAUAGCCCUUUGUGUAAUGUGACCUACCUAGACUGAGGAACGCGCUUCUGCUCGGAUGCUGGCGUAAUGGUUGCAAGCGACCCGUCUUGAAACACGGACCAAGGAGUCUAACAUCUAUGCGAGUGUUAGGGUGUCAAACCCUUACGCGGAAUGAAAGUGAACGGAGGUAGGAACCCGCAAGGGUGCACUAUCGACCGAUCCUGAUGUCUUCGGAUGGAUUUGAGUAAGAGCAUAGCUGUUGGGACCCGAAAGAUGGUGAACUAUGCCUGAAUAGGGUGAAGCCAGAGGAAACUCUGGUGGAGGCUCGCAGCGGUUCUGACGUGCAAAUCGAUCGUCAAA
rnacentral:rRNA from 1 species